AACGGUUUUUGUGAAUUUCCGAAUUCGUCGCAGUUUGUUUGACCAUCGUGGCUGUCAUGCAUUAUAUAAAACGCUAUUGGUAUGUCUUUCGAGACAGCACGAGCCACCAGUGACGAGGAAUUGCACCAAUUGUUGCAUACUACUGGGGAGAAAUUUGUGACUGUAAAGUCUCGGCAAUUUUCCGACACGCCCAACAACUGAGAAUGUCAAGAAACAUCCGCUCUGAAACUGGAGAAAGGGCGUUAAAUAUGAUUAUGUCCUUGUCUUUACUUCCUGCUGAUCAAAUAAUAAGAAGUGGGAUACAAGCAGUGGAAGAGUAUAGGUAUAAUGUAAGAAAACAUGAUGGUUAUUUUCCAAAGACUAAUUGAAUUCAUCAGAGACAAUUGGAUUGGUGUAGUAACAGCAAGUGUUUUAUCAGUUACUGGCCUCAAGUGGACCAUCAAUUCCAUUGAGUCUUUUUACAGAAAGUUACUAAAGGCUGUUUGUGGGCCCAGCCAGGAAUUUUGGCAUUUCAUCACAGCUCUACGGAAACAAGAUGGUGGUUUCCAUGCCACAAAGCAGAAUGUGGAGGGGCAGGGUCAGCCCAAAGAAGCAACGCAUGUCCUUGGUGCGACAGGACGAGAACAUCAACCAAAAGCAGAUACAAUUUCUUUUAAAAAAUUCUUUAGCGAGCAUCUUGGACAGUUAUAUCAUUGGCAGAAAGACUUCUGUGUGUCAUGUUCGGCAGCAGCUGUGAUGUACGAGGAAGUUACAGGCGUGGACCAAGUCCAAGAUGACCACCAGACCUUAUAAUGUGGCCGACCACCCACCAACCAUAGAACAACUGAGGCCUCUGAUCAGCAUGCAUAUAGCCUACAACUUAUGUCCACAGAAGAAAGAAAAUCAAUACCAUGUAAACAUGUACAAUAAGCACAGAGUUAAUAUUGCCUUAAACAUAAUAAAAGAUGUAGGGAGGUUUUGAAAAUAUGAAAUUGAAAAUUAAACUUAAUUGUUUGGUUUUGAGAGAGAAAUCAAUAAUACAUGCUUAUUUUAUUAUAUACAGUAAAAUACUUACGUGGUCCAGUCGGUCCAGUAGUAGUGGCUCUUGGAGAUCGCCAGGCCGAACGGGUAGCUGCAGUUGGCAACAACGAUGCGCUCCACGGAUUGGCCGAUCCCCACACAGGCUGCGUGAGUAGAAACAACAGCAAAGUAAGCCACUUACAGUUUUAGGAUGUAGAAAUGCUCUCAAAUUACAAUGAUAACAUCUUAUUGUCCAAGAACACAAAAACUUUGGACAGCAACAUAAAAAAUACACACUUGUUGAAUACAUGUGUCUAUCAUUGGCUAUGGUGUUUAACUGACAAAUUUCAAGUCAUAUACUGCAUCUUAUAAUUUUCGUGAUUGGUUUUUCUGUGGGAAAUAAAACACAGAGUGUUAGUACCUUUACUGCUGGUGCUUGUGUUUGGCCUACCAAGAUUGGCAU